UCUUGCAUCGAUGAAGAACGUAGCGAAAUGCGAUACUUGGUGUGAAUUGCAGAAUCCCCGUGAACCAUCGAGUCUUUGACAGCAAGUUGCGCCCGAAGCCAUUAGGUUGAAGGCACGUCUGCGUGGGCGUCA
rnacentral:rRNA from 1 species